UCCCUGGUGGCUCAGAGGUUAAAGUGUCUGCCUCUAAUGCGGGAGACCUGGGUUCGAUCCCUGGGUAGGGAA
rfam:TPA: Bos taurus chromosome 11, whole genome shotgun sequence.